AAGUCGUAACAAGGUCUCCGUUGGUGAACCAGCGGAGGGAUCAUUACAGGACUCGCAAGACUCCCGUAAACCACUGUGAACUUACCUACAACCCGUUGCCUCGGCGGGUGCUCCGGGCGCGUCUUCGGGCGCUCCGGGGCGCUCCAGCCCGCCGGCGGCCCCUAAACUCUGUCUCUGUAACGUUGGCAUCUCCGAGCAGACUAUAAACGAGUCAAAACUUUCAACAACGGAUCUCUUGGUUCUG
rnacentral:misc_RNA from 1 species